AUUGAACGCUGGCGGCAGGUCUAACACAUGCAAGUCGAGCGAGCGGCGGACGGGUGAGUAAUGUCUGGGAAACUGCCUGAUGGAGGGGGAUAACUACUGGAAACGGUAGCUAAUACCGCAUACCAUCAGAUGUGCCCAGAUGGGUUUAGCUAGUAGGUGGGGUAACGGCUCCCCUCGGCGACGAUCACUAGCUGGUCUGAGAGGAUGACCAGCCACACUGGGACUGAGACACGGCCCAGACUCCUACGUGAGGCAGCAGUGGGGAAUAUUGCACAAUGGGCGCAAGCCUGAUGCAGCCAUGCCGCGUGUGUGAAGAAGGCCUUCGGGUUGUAAAGCACUUUCAGCGGGGAAGCGUUACCCGAAGAAGAAGCACCGGCUAACUCCGUGCCAGCAGCCGCGGUAAUUC
rnacentral:rRNA from 1 species